CAGUCGCCGCGGGAAUACGUAGGGUGCGAGCGUUAAUCGGAAUUACUGGGCGUAAAGCGUGCGCAGGCGGUUCGUUAAGACAGAUGUGAAAUCCCCGGGCUUAACCUGGGAACUGCAUUUGUGACUGGCGAGCUAGAGUAUGGCAGAGGGGGGUAGAAUUCCACGUGUAGCAGUGAAAUGCGUAGAGAUGUGGAGGAAUACCGAUGGCGAAGGCAGCCCCCUGGGCCAAUACUGACGCUCAUGCACGAAAGCGUGGGGAGCAAACAGGAUUAGAUACCCCUGUAGUCCCUGUCUCUUAUAC
rnacentral:rRNA from 1 species